rnacentral:rRNA from 1 species
ACGCGAAGAACCUUACCCAGAUUUGACAUGCAGAAGACCNGGUUUAGAGAUAAACCCUCCCUUCGGGGCUUCUGCACAGGUGCUGCAUGGCUGUCGUCAGCUCGUGCCGUGAGGUGUUGGGUUAAGUCCCGCAACGAGCGCAACCCUUAUCAUUAGUUGCCAACAUGUUAUGGUGGGAACUCUAGUGAGACUGCCUGGGUUAACCAGGAGGAAGGUGAGGAUGACGUCAAGUCCGCAUGGCCCUUAUAUCUGGGGCUACACACGUGCUACAAUGGGCGGUACAAAAGGUAGCGAAGCCGUGAGGUGGAGCAAAUCCCUAAAACCGUUCUCAGUUCAGAUUGUAGUCUGCAACUCGACUACAUGAAGUUGGAAUUGCUAGUAAUGGCGGGUCAGCAACACCGCCGUGAAUACGUUCCCGGGUCUUGUACACACCG